rnacentral:rRNA from 14 species
CGUGCCGUGAGGUGUUGGGUUAAGUCCCGCAACGAGCGCAACCCCUAUCUUUAGUUGCCAGCGAGUCAUGUCGGGGACUCUAAAGAAACUGCCUACGCAAGUAGAGAGGAAGGCGGGGACGACGUCAAGUCAUCACGGCCCUUACGUCCUGGGCCACACACGUGCUACAAUGGCCGGUACAGAGGGCAGCUACCACGCGAGUGGAUGCGAAUCUCGAAAGCCGAUCUCAGUUCGGAUUGGAGUCUGCAACUCGACUCUAUGAAGCUGGAAUCGCUAGUAAUCGCGCAUCAGCCAUGGCGCGGUGAAUACGUUCCCGGGCCUUGUACACACCGCCCGUCACACCAUGGGAGUGGAUUGCACCAGAAGUGGUUAGUCUAACCUUCGGGGGGACGAUCACCACGGUGUGGUUCAUGACUGGGGUGAAGUCGUAACAAGGUAGCCCUAGGGGAA